GACGAACGCUGGCGGCGUGCUUAACACAUGCGAGUCGAACGGUAAGGCCCCUUCGGGGGUACACGAGUGGCGAACGGGUGAGUAACACGUGAGCAACCUGCCCUUGACUCUGGAAUAACAGUUGGAAACAGCUGCUAAUACUGGAUAUUCAUCGUCUCCUUCCUGGGGGGUGGUGGAAAGCUCCGGCGGUCAGGGAUGGGCUCGCGGCCUAUCAGCUUGUUGGUGAGGUAAUGGCUCACCAAGGCUUCGACGGGUAGCCGGCCUGAGAGGGCGACCGGCCACACUGGGACUGAGAUACGGCCCAGACUCCUACGGGAGGCAGCAGUGGGGAAUAUUGCACAAUGGGCGCAAGCCUGAUGCAGCAACGCCGCGUGCGGGAUGACGGCCUUCGGGUUGUAAACCGCUUUCAGUAGGGACGAAGGGUGACUGACGGUACCUACAGAAGAAGGACCGGCUAACUACGUG
rnacentral:rRNA from 1 species